UAAUGCACAUAAUAAAUGCCAACCAUUCAUCAUGAAAUUAUAAAUAGUAUCAUUUCAAGAUGCAUGGUAAGGCUUUAUUUUGUUUUGCAAUC
ensembl:ncRNA mir-4950 mir-4950 stem loop